rnacentral:lncRNA from 1 species
CCUGAUUCCCCGGAUGGCAAGGAAGAGGGAAGAAGGAGGCCCAGGAGGCAUCUGGUGACCGAAGGAUGGGAGUGGAGAAUCGGAACAGAGCCCCAUCGCACCCCGAGGACCCUAACCGAGCAGCGCUGGGCUCCUGGCUCGGCACCGAGCAGCUGGGGGGCAGAGUUAGGGCCUCUUAGCCCGGGUCACUGUCCCAACCCCGGCUAGGGCGCAGGGGCUGUGCUUCUGUUCCAAGGAACCACUGUCCUCUCCUUCCUUUUCCACGGUUCGUCCUCCUCUCGGCCUCAGCCAUUGAAUCCUCUGGGGGGAGUAUCAGGUCUCGAGUUUUGUUUUCAUUUUGGAGAGAGUGAAGAGAGAGAGGCCCGGGAACGUCCACCCUAGGACUUCGGUGCGUGGAGGUGCCCAGCGCAGGUGGGGAAGCCCUCCGUUAGCGUAGAUGAUUAACCUAACCCUGCAAACGGCGAAGGGUCUAGUAUGGGACUUAUCCCGAUUGAAGGGACUGAGGGCCCGGAGAGGUGGUCAAACCAGUAACCUUCCCAGAGCCACAAGACUAGUUUUUCCUCAACAACACUUAAUACAAUCUGAAACUAGGGCUGUUUGCUUUUACUUUUUGUUUUUGGUAACAAUCUGCCCCUCUCUGCAGAAUGUCAACUCCGUGAGAGCUGGUCCUCCUCUUUUGGCACUCAUCCAGCCCAGCACCCUGCCAGGUGCAGAGUUGAUCUUUAGCAACCAUUUCUUGUAUGAAUAAGUGAAUAGACACGGGAGGCUGUGGCAUGAGGUGGCUUCUGGCCCUUUAUCACCUCAAGUUCGCAGUACAACUGGAUUCAUUUGGUGAUUGGAUGGCAUAGGGCAGUAGCAUGCUUCAGAACGGCUUCAGACUUGAUUCUUAGUCCUGACUCUACAGCCAUCGGGAGCUUCUCUUCCACUGUCCAGUGCAAUCUGGAAGACUGAGAGAAAGCAGAGAAACUGACUGUACCCUAUGGGGCUAGUGCUGGAGGGGGAAGGAGAUGUUUUUAAUAAAGUCUGUUUCCAAGAAGUCAGGGUUUUCCAAUUUAGGUUUCCCACCAUAAAUAAUUUAUUAGUGUAGUAAUAGUAAAAAAUAACUUGUAAAAACACUGCAGAAGGUCCCAAACAAAUGGUAAACAUGCUAAGAGAUGAGACAGUGCUGGGUUUGGUUUUUAUUGGGGAGAACAGAUUAUUUGCAAGGAAGAAUAAUUAAAGGAUGUGAUUAUUAAAGAUGCAUGCUAGUUACUAGUAAGUAAGCAAUAUCCUUGUAGAAACCAUAGAGGGCCAGAAUAUUAAAGAUUCAAUUUGAAUUUUGUUAGAGUAGCAAUAUACUGCUGGCUCUAUCUUGGAUGAAUAAUAAUCUCCUAGGACUUCAUUUUCUCAACUGUCAAGAACAAUUGGCACCAAUAAUGUCUAUGCUUCAGGAUUUUUAGGAAGUGUUGUUGAUUGGAUUAUUAGUACCAAUUCUUCCUACCUUUGUAGUACUGUUGUGCACCCAUAACCUUGCCAUGGCCUCUUAGUGGGUGAUGUGUAGUUUUCCACUUCUUGACAUUGGGCUGGUCUUGGGACUUGCUUUGGCCAGUGGGAUGCUAGUGGGUGUGAUCUGAGAAGAGGAUAUGGUGUGUGUGCUUGUUGGUUGACCUUUUAUGUUUCUAGUUCAGUGAAAAAAGCAUACCCUGGCUAGCCACCAUUCUUUGAUUUGCUUGAAU